AAAGAUACUACUUAUAAAAAAGGAAUUGGAACGAUACAGAGGAGAUUAGCAUGGCCCCUGUGCAAGGAUGACAUGCAAAUUUGUGAAGCGUUCCAUAUUUUU